UGCGCCUGUAGCUCAACCGGAUAGAGCAACGGCCUUCUAAGCCGUAGGUCGGGGGUUCGAGUCCCUCCAGGCGCACCAU
rnacentral:tRNA from 1 species